GGACAGGUGACCGAGUGGCUGAAGGUGCAGCAUUGGAAAUGCUGUGUACGGUUCGCUGUACCGUGGGUUCGAAUCCCACCCUGUCCG
rnacentral:tRNA from 1 species